GCUGGCAAAAUAGUCGUGAUCACCGUCGUCCUCAAUUUCUAACAGAUACUAGAUCAUCAAUGCCUUCACAUGAUGGACGUCCACCACUGCUCCCAACACCACCAUAUCAACCUCCUUUUCAGUUUCAAGAAACCUGUCAGAUGUGCAACCGGCAAGGCCACACUUCACGUGUAUGUCCUGAUCGUGGUAAUUACGCCUACAUGGCAGAGUCCAACACCUCCAAUAUCCCUUCACCAUCUGUUCCUACUAACACAAGUUGGUGUGUUGACUCCGGGGCAACCCAUCAUAUGGUGUCCAGUCCUUCUCAACUCCCCUUUGUGAAGCCAUAUACAGGACAAUAUGACGGGGAGGACAUUACUCACUGGCAGUAGCUCUGGCGACUUGUACCAUAUUCAAGCA